rnacentral:rRNA from 1 species
AGAUUGAACGCUGGCGGCAGGCCUAACACAUGCAAGUCGAGCGGCAGCACGGGUACUUGUAUCUGGUGGCGAGCGGCGGACGGGUGAGUAAUGCCUAGGAAUCUGCCGGGUAGUGGGGGAUAACGCUCGGAAACGGCGCUAAUACCGCAUACGUCCUACGGGAGAAAGCAGGGGACCUUCGGGCCUUGCGCUAUCAGAUGAGCCUAGGUCGGAUUAGC